rnacentral:rRNA from 1 species
GAUGAACGCUGGCGGCGUGCCUAAUACAUGCAAGUCGAGCGAACAGACGAGGAGCUUGCUCCUCUAACGUUAGCGGCGGACGGGUGAGUAACACGUGGAUAACCUACCUAUAAGACUGGGAUAACUUCGGGAAACCGGAGCUAAUACCGGAUAAUAUAUUGAACCGCAUGGUUCAAUAGUGAAAGACGGUUUUGCUGUCACUUAUAGAUGGAUCCGCGCCGCAUUAGCUAGUUGGUAAGGUAACAGCUUACCAAGGCAACGAUGCGUAGCCGACCUGAGAGGGUGAUCGGCCACCCUGGAACUGAGACACGGUCCAGACUCCUACGGGAGGCAGCAGUAGGGAAUCUUCCGCAAUGGGCGAGAGCCUGACGGAGCAACGCCGCGUGAGUGAUGAAGGUCUUCGGAUCGUAAAACUCUGUUAUUAGGGAAGAACAAAUGUGUAAGUAACUAUGCACGUCUUGACGGUACCUAAUCAGAAAGCCACGGCUAACUACGUG